AGUUUUUUUUUUUUAAUGUACAGUUCGAAUGUAUGCCUGGAGCAAAUAAGCACACAUCUAAAGAAGCUGGGAGCCUUGCAGUUGUAAUCCAAGCUCUCUGUGCCCUGGUGCUCCUGCCUGUUUUCAGGCACCCCAAAUGUGGUCCUAGGCCAGAGAAGUGAAGAGCAUCUCUCGGCAGCCUAAGUUCAGCUCUGCAGCUGAGCCACUGCACGUGGAGCUGUGGCCAGUGGAGAUUCAGGAGCAGAUCUGCUGCAUUACCUAUGAACAGGACAAUGGGGCCCCAAUGAGUCACCCUAUUCAUAUAUUUUUGGAACCCAGAGGAAUUGGUUUGACUAUUUACAGAUUAUAACAGUUGGUAGUUGAAUGUUUUAUUUUCAUUCCCAGUUGGUACAAUAUGUUCACAGCUGAUGCUAAUGGCUUGCCCAUUUGAUAUCACAUAUGGUCCACUAUUUGGGUCUCCUAAAGCUUCUUUUGUGGUCAAGCUGCUUUCAAACUUAUGUCUGUUUAGGUUUGUUCUGUCUGCUGGGAAGUUGAAUAUGAAACUCUGAAACUGGGCAGCUUUUGAGUAACUCAGCAGUUCUGUUGAUAAAGAGCCAAAGAAUUUGAGACGAAAUGGCCCAUAAAGAAUAUCACUAUAUAAAAUUGAAUAAAAACAAAUGUCUUACAACAUCAUGUGAAAUUCUGAAAGAAAUGUCCUUUCCUCUUUCUUUGUCUUUGAAGCUGUGAUUGAGUUACCCUCCAGUGUAUGGAUAUCACUGAGCAUCAUCAGGGCUGCUUUUGCUGGAUGUUUAGUUAUAUUGGAAAUCAAUUUAUACAUAAUUUGUAUUGCUUAAAUCAUCAUUUGUAUUUUUAGUUGAAUAUUACUAUUAUGAUAGUGUUUUGUGAAACAAUAUAUGGAAGCAAAUUAAUUUUUCCUUUGUUUUAUAGAAUAGGAGCAUAGGAAAAGUGAACUAAAAGAAUAUGGGUACAGAAAUUAAAAUUACAAGCCUAUCCGAAGUUGUUCUCCUAUGACACAAAGUGUUUAUACUGACUCUGAAACAUACUGAUAAAACCACAAUCUCAUAAAAAGAUUAUUUCCAAAACUAUUGCAUUACCCUCUGAGAGCUAAAAUUCUCAUUUAUUCGUAGGAGUAGAUCAUAAUAGCUCUAAUUCCCUGAGAAGUGGGCAUUGUGUGAUAAUUAAGCAGGGUAGUACAUUAAUUGUCCUCCACUUCACCUCUAGAUGUUUAACUCCUUAUCUAGUCAACCAGCAAACAAUAAUGCUCACUUAUUUGUGCCUUACAGUUAAAAAAAAAAAAAAACUAGGUAAUUUAUUUGAAAUAAAGCAGAGUAAGCAUAUUCAUGUAAAAGAGGUAUUAAAAUGAUGUUAGAUUACCAUUAUUAAAUACCAUUAGGUCGUAGGAUGUGGGGUUUAUGGUUGUAUUUUUCAGCCAUGCAACUUUAGCUGAAUAAGAGCAAUGUGAUUUCGCAUGCAGGAAUAUUUUUCUAACAAAUGGGACAGAUUUAGCAGGUUUUUUUGCCACGUGGCUUCUGCUUUCUGGUGGCCUCUCUGUCACCAAUGCCUGUUAGGAGAGCAGGUACGUGUGUGCUGGAAGUGCUGCCUGUGCCUGGCAUACCUGGCUCCUGGCGUUGGGUUAAAUGAGGCACCUGGUGGUAGGACAGAGGCUCUGGCUUGCUCAGUUUCAGGAGAAAUAGUGCAUAUUGCUGGAUAAGAGUCAGCCCUUGGAAGGAGACUGAAAUGGAACUGAAGUAGGAGGCUCUUUCAAGUUAUUCAAGUCAAUAUUCCACCUGGAGUACUAGGGAAAGAAAAACCCAACUAAACCAAAUGUUUUUGCAAACAAAAUUAAUAGAGAAGAACUAAAAUACUGCCCUCUACUAUAAGCAGUUUCAGGGACCUAGAAAAUGACAGAGAACUUUAGCAUGCUAAGAAGCUCACUUGAAAUGUCUUUAAAAAAAGAACUAAGGAAAUCAAAUUAUUAAUGAAUUAUCUCAGGAAUGGACUGGGUACCUGAUGAUGUGGUAAAAAGUAUUUGUUAGACAGGACUUGGUCAAAAUUUGGUGAAAUUUUGGGUACUCUGUACCCAAGAGAGUUAAAGAAGUUAGUGAUGUUAUCUCUCCCAGCUUAUUAGAUAGACAUGGAAGAUUAUGCAAAAGUAGAAUUUGGAUUUACUGGAUGCAAAUUAAAUUAUAUUCAGGAAAGAAUGUCUUUCUCAUAAAUAGCAGAACUAAGUGUU